GAUGAACGCUAGCGGCAGGCUUAACACAUGCAAGUCGAGGGGCAGCAGGGAUUGUGCUUGCACAAUCCGCUGGCGACCGGCGCACGGGUGCGUAACGCGUAUGCAACCUACCUUUAACAGGGGGAUAACACUGAGAAAUUGGUACUAAUACCCCAUAAUACUUUGAGAGGCAUCUUUCGAAGUUGAAAGUUCCGGCGGUUAGAGAUGGGCAUGCGUUGUAUUAGCUAGAUGGUGAGGUAACGGCUCACCAUGGCGACGAUACAUAGGGGGACUGAGAGGUUAACCCCCCACAUUGGUACUGAGACACGGACCGAACUCCUACGGGAGGCAGCAGUGAGGAAUAUUGGUCAAUGGACGCAAGUCUGAACCAGCCAUGCCGCGUGCAGGAUGACGGCUCUAUGAGUUG
rnacentral:rRNA from 1 species